AUUGAACGCUGGCGGCAUGCUUUACACAUGCAAGUCGAACGGCAGCGCGGGCUUCGGCCUGGCGGCGAGUGGCGAACGGGUGAGUAAUGCAUCGGAACGUGCCCAGUAGUGGGGGAUAGCCCGGCGAAAGCCGGAUUAAUACCGCAUACGACCUGAGGGUGAAAGCGGGGGACCGAAAGGCCUCGCGCUAUUGGAGCGGCCGAUGUCGGAUUAGCUAGCUGGUGGGGUAAAGGCUGACCAAGGCGACCAUCCGUAGCUGGUCUGAGAGGACGACCAGCCACACUGGGACUGAGACACGGCCCAGACUCCUACGGGAGGCAGCAGUGGGGAAUUUUGGACAAUGGGGGCAACCCUGAUCCAGCCAUGCCGCGUGCGGGAAGAAGGCCUUCGGGUUGUAAACCGCUUUUGUUCGGGAAGAAAUCCUCUGGGCUAAUACCCCGGGGGGAUGACGGUACCGGAAGAAUAAGCACCGGCUAACUACGUG
rnacentral:rRNA from 1 species